CUACCCUUGACAUGUACGGAAGCCCCGAGAGAUCGGGGCGUGCUCGAAAGAGAGCCGUAACACAGGUGCUGCAUGGCUGUCGUCAGCUCGUGUCGUGAGAUGUUGGGUUAAGUCCCGCAACGAGCGCAACCCUUGUCAUUAGUUGCUACGAAAGGGCACUCUAAUGAGACUGCCGGUGACAAACCGGAGGAAGGUGGGGAUGACGUCAAGUCCUCAUGGCCCUUAUGGGUAGGGCUUCACACGUCAUACAAUGGUACAUACAGAGGGCCGCCAACCCGCGAGGGGGAGCUAAUCCCAGAAAGUGUAUCGUAGUCCGGAUUGCAGUCUGCAACUCGACUGCGUGAAGUUGGAAUCGCUAGUAAUCGCGGAUCAGCAUGUCGCGGUGAAUACGUUCUC
rnacentral:rRNA from 1 species